GUAGUCCACGCCCUAAACGAUGAAUACUCGAUGUUGGCGAUAUACGGUCAGCGUCUAAGCGAAAGCGUUAAGUAUUCCACCUGGGGAGUACGCCCGCAAGGGUGAAACUCAAAGGAAUUGACGGGGGCCCGCACAAGCGGAGGAGCAUGUGGUUUAAUUCGAUGAUACGCGAGGAACCUUACCCGGGCUUGAAAGUUAGUGAAUGAUCCAGAGACGGAUCAGUCCUUCGGGACACGAAACUAGGUGCUGCAUGGCUGUCGUCAGCUCGUGCCGUGAGGUGUUGGGUUAAG
rnacentral:rRNA from 1 species